CAAGUCGAACGAGAAAGUUCCUUCGGGAGCGAGUAAAGUGGCGGACGGGUGAGUAACGCGUAGGAAUCUACCUUUCAGUGGGGGAUAGCUCGGGGAAACUCGAAUUAAUACCGCAUACACCCUUCGGGGGAAAGGGGGCCUCUCCUUGGAAGCUCUCGCUGUUAGAUGAGCCUGCGUGAGAUUAGCUUGUUGGUAAGGUAAUGGCUCACCAAGGCUACGAUCUCUAGCUGGUCUGAGAGGACGAUCAGCCACACUGGGACUGAGACACGGCCCAGACUCCUACGGGAGGCAGCAGUAGGGAAUAUUGGACAAUGGGGGCAACCCUGAUCCAGGCAUGCCGCGUGUGUGAAGAAGGCCUUAGGGUUGUAAAGCACUUUAAGUGAGGAAGAAAAGAUUUAAAUUAAUACUUUAAGUCCCUGACAUUACUCACAGAAUAAGGACCGGCUAACUCCGUGCCAGCAGCCGCGGUAAUACGGAGGGUCCAAGCGUUAAUCGGAAUUACUGGGCGUAAAGCGCGCGUAGAUGGUUUAUUCAGUUGGGUGUGAAAUCCCUGGGCUCAACCUAGGAACUGCAUUCAAAACUUAUAAACUAGAGUACGAAAGAGGAGAGUAGAAUUCAUGGUGUAGCGGUGAAAUGCGUAGAGAUCAUGAGGAAUACCAGUGGCGAAGGCGACUCUCUGGUUCGAGACUGACAUUGAGGUGCGAAAGCGUGGGUAGCAAACAGGAUUAGAUACCCUGGUAGUCCACGCCGUAAACGAUGAGAACUAGCCGUUGGAUCUUUAGAUUCAGUGGCGCAGCUAACGCAUUAAGUUCUCCGCCUGGGGAGUACGGCCGCAAGGCUAAAACUCAAAUGAAUUGACGGGGGCCCGCACAAGCGGUGGAGCAUGUGGUUUAAUUCGAUGCAACGCGAAGAACCUUACCAACCCUUGACAUCCAGUGGAAGUUUUAGAGAUAAACUGUGCCUUUGGGACACUG
rnacentral:rRNA from 1 species